rnacentral:lncRNA from 1 species
UGUCCGAUGUAGAUCCUAAAAUCUACACUAAGUAUUUGAUAGUGAUCGGGAGUUUAAUCUAGGGAAGAUAAAUGAUGUAGGCAACGAUAUGUUUAGAACACAACGAUGUAAUCAGUUUCCAGUAGGUAAAAAUGGACUUUAUUGAUGAAUAAGAUCGAAUACAAUGAGUUAAACUAGAUCGGAUGUUACAAAUGAGAUGUAUAAAGAAAGGAUCUAAGAUGGGAAUGAAAACAAGGUCGAUGUAUGUGUGUAGCUCUCUCUAGGGUUUUCAACGUGUCCCCCUUCAUGUUCGUUCCUCUCUCUUUAUAAUGAGUCGACUUCCUCCUCUUCGCAACUGCUAUGCGA